UGAAAAAAGAAUAAUCUACAGGAAUUUAUUGCUUGCCUGCAAUAGAUUGGGUAAGGGAUUUCUCUCUCAUCCGACCAUAGGGAGGAUGAGGAAGCGCAAGCAGGCUCAACCAAAGGGUGGGGGGUAGGGGUAGGGGAGAGGAAUUUAUCACUUUCCCAAUGCCCCCACACCAAAUAAGUAAUUCAGGUAUUUAUUGCUUUCUCGACGAAGGAGGGGAAUGGGGCUGGUUUCAUGAAUUUGGACUGGUUUUACGGGGAUGACUUGUGGCUAGGGAUGAAAGGCCAACCAAGAUUAGAUAUAGUUGGUUUUCUGCGAAAUAUAUUUCAGUAGAGCAUGUGUAUAAUAUGGCCUGAGGUAGAGCACUCAAUGGGCUAGGGUGGCCCAAAGCUUUACCAACCCCAAGGAAACUUCGAGUACAGGAUUAAUCAAUCGUACAGACAGACUUUGGGUGCUAAGAUCCAGAGUUGAGAGGGAAACAGCCCAUAUCGUAUGCUAAGGUCCCUAAGAAAUUGCUUAGUGGAAAAGGAAGUGAUCGAGCGAUGACAACCAGGAGGUGGGCUUGGAAGUAGCCAUCCUUUGAAGAAAGUGUAAUAGCUCACUGGUCUAGCUCCAUGGCACCGAAAAUGUAUCGGUGCUCAAGUGAUUCACUGAAGCUACGAGACCUUGGAAGCGUUAAGCGGCCUCUAAAGACCCAAGGUUACUUAUUUCUCACCCAAAGAAUGAGGGUGAGGAGAGCGUUUAGAUUGUCUUGACCAAAGGGAGAGGAGGGUGAGUAAGCGAGGCGCCAACCAAGUGUCAGUAACGGGACGUUCUGUCAAUCAAAGAAGGGACAACACCUGGAGAUAUCAGAAAUGAGAAUGCUGACAUGAGUAACAAUGAAUCAUGUGAAAAACAUGAUCGCUUGCCAGUUCCAAGGUUUCUGCAUUCAGUCAAUCUACGCAAACUGAAUCAGUCCCUAAGGAACCCCCGAAAGGGAUUUCACCCAAUGGGUACACGAAAGUGAUGAAGUUGCCCCAACUACUGAACCAUGCAUGUCUGUUGAAGUGAAUUGGAUGAGAGUUGGAUUUUCCUGCCAACCAAAUUGAAUGAAUGAAAAAGCGCACUUCUGUUAGGGUUUCAACUUCCAGGGAAAAACUUUGAAUUGGGAGGGUGAUCCUCCUGGUGAACUAACCGUACUCCAAACUGACACAGGUGAACAAGUAGAGUAUACUAGGGCUCUUGAGAGAACCAUGUUGAAGGAACUCGGAAAAAUGACCCCGUAACUUCGGGAGAAGGGGUGCUCUCCCUCCUAUCUUUGGGUUGGGAAAGCGGCACAUACCAGGGGGUAGCGACUGUUUAUUAAAAACAUAGGACUCUACCAAGUGGUAACACGAUGUAUAGAGUCUGACACCUACCCGGUGAUGGAAUGUUGGAAGGAGAAGCGUGAUAAGAUUCGAAUGGAAGCCCCGGUAAAUGACGAUAGUAACUCUAACUGUCCUAAGGUAGAGAAAUUCCUUAUCGCAUAAGUAGCGACCUGCACGAAUGGUGUAACGACUACCUCGCUGUCUCCGACAUGGACCCAGUGAAAUUAAAUUCUUCAUGAAGAUGCGGAGUACCAACGGCUAGACGGUAAGACCCCGUGCACCUUGACUAUAGAUUUGCAGUGACAACCUCUUACGAAUGUGUGGGAUAGGUGGGAGGUGGGGAAAUAUCAAUCCUGGAAUACCACUCUUUCGUCUAAGGAUGCGUAACUGCUUCUUUCUCUACAUUGAUUCUCAGGGUGGGACACUGCAAGGUGGGUAUUUUAUAUGGGGUGGAUGCCUCCUAAAGAGUAAUGGAACUGUGUGAAGGUAGGUGCUUUCUAUAAUAAAGCGUAAUGGUCUAAGCCUGCCUGAUUGUGAGACUCACUGGUCGAACAGAGACGAAAGUCGGCCAUAGUGAUAUGGGAGUCACGCGUGGAAGGGCUCUCACUCAACGGAUCAAAGGUACACCGGGGAUAACAAGUUGAUGACUCCCAAGAGAUCUUAUCGAAGGAGUCAUUUGGCACCUCGAUGUUGACUCAUCGCAUCUUGGGGUUGAAGAAGGUCCCAAGGGUUUGGUUGUUCGCCGAUGAAAGUGGUACGUGAGUUGGGUUUAGAACGUCGUGAGACAGUUCAGUUCCUAUCUACCACUGGUGUUGAAGGGAGAACUGCGAGGAGCCAAACCUAGUAUGAGAGGACUAGGUUGGGCCAACCUAUGGUGUACCAGUUGUCAUGCCUAGUAGCGUUGGGCAGCCAAGUUGGUAUGGAAGAACUACUGAAAGCAUCUAAGCGGGAAAUCCUUCUCUAGACAAGUUCUCAUACGAGGUGAAAGAACAUCACUUCGAUAGGUGGUAGGUGUAAGCACCGUGAGGUGUGAAGCAAUAUCAUACUAAUAUUUUUACUUA
rfam:Picea glauca, whole genome shotgun sequence.